rnacentral:rRNA from 1 species
CAAUAGCGUAUAUUAAAGUUGUUGCAGUUAAAAAGCUCGUAGUUGGAUUUCUGGAUGGAGCGACCGGUCGGGCAUUAAUUUGUCUGCACUGGAGUCGGUUCCGUCCAUCCUCUUGGAAAGUGCGUCGGGCAUUAAGUUGUUUGGCGUAUGAUCCAAGUCGUUUACUGUGAAAAAAUUAGAGUGUUUAAAGCAGGCCUUCGCCUUGAAUACAUUAGCAUGGAAUAAUAAGAUAGGACUUUGGUCUAUUUUGUUGGUUUGCAGACCGAAGUAAUGAUUAAUAGGGAUAGUUGGGGGUAUUUAUAUUCCGAUGUCGGAGGUGAAAUUCUUAGAUUUUCGGAAGAUAAACUUAUGCGAAAGCAUUUACCAAGGAUGUUUNCAUUAA